rnacentral:rRNA from 1 species
UACGAAGGGGGCUAGCGUUGCUCGGAAUCACUGGGCGUAAAGCGCACAUAGGCGGAUUGCUAAGUCAGGGGUGAAAUCCUGGAGCUCAACUCCAGAACUGCCUUUGAUACUGGCGACCUUGAGUCCGGGAGAGGUGAGUGGAACUGCGAGUGUAGAGGUGAAAUUCGUAGAUAUUCGCAAGAACACCAGUGGCGAAGGCGGCUCACUGGCCCGGUACUGACGCUGAGGCGCGAAAGCGUGGGGAGCAAACGGG